rnacentral:rRNA from 1 species
CAGUAGCCACGGUAAUACGGAGGGAGCUAGCGUUGUUCGGAAUUACUGGGCGUAAAGCGCACGUAGGCGGUUAUUCAAGUCAGAGGUGAAAGCCCGGGGCUCAACCCCGGAACUGCCUUUGAAACUAGAUGACUGGAAUCUUGGAGAGGUCAGUGGAAUUCCGAGUGUAGAGGUGAAAUUCGUAGAUAUUCGGAAGAACACCAGUGGCGAAGGCGACUGACUGGACAAGUAUUGACGCUGAGGUGCGAAAGCGUGGGGAGCAAACAGGAUUAGAUACCCCAGUAGUCCCUGUCUCUUAUAC